GUGUCAGCCGCCGCGGUAAUACGUAGGAGGCAAGCGUUAUCCGGAUUUACUGGGCGUAAAGAGAGCGUAGGCGGUUUGGUAAGUCGGAUGUGAAAUCUCCCGGCUCAACCGGGAGGAGUCAUUCGAUACUGUUGAACUAGGGUGCAGCAGGGGGAAGUGGAAUUCCCGGUGUAGUGGUGAUAUGCGUAGAUAUCGGGAGGAACACCAGUGGCGAAGGCGGCUUCCUGGGCUGUUUCUGACGCUGAGGCUCGAAAGUGUGGGGAGCGAACAGGAUUAGAUACCCUGGUAGUCCACACUGUAAACGAUGGACACUAGGUAUGGGGAGUAUCGACCCUCUCUGUGCCGAAGUUAACGCUUUAAGUGUCCCGCCUGGGGACUACGGCCGCAAGGCUAAAACUUAAAGGAAUUGGCGGGG
rnacentral:rRNA from 1 species